AGGGAGAGGGGACUUGCUUUGCUGCUAAUUAAAGCCAGUGUUUCUGUUGUUUAAAGCCCACAGGUGAGAAGAUGGAGAGUAAAGAAAAGACAUCAGCUCACUAUUCCACACAUUGGACAGAUGGGACUCUCGGAGCUGAGAGUCAGAAGACAGAACCUGCUUACAAGAAGACCGCGCUUGAGGACCUGCUAGGGGAUUCUUUCUCUAAGAUAGAACAGUCCAGCAAAGGGAUUGAGAGCGAAAUUUUACUUUGCAGAAGAGAGGCAUAUAUCCCACUCAGUUGCUGCCCCUGAAGUGGUAGAGAGAAAACCUCUCCAAAUAUCCUUUGCUGUCUCCUCUUGUCAAAGAAUAUCUUUCCAUCCCUGCUACCUCUGUUCCAAGUGAGUGUGUCUUUUUAACUUCAGGAGACAUAGUUACUACCCGGAGGUACUACCCUUAAAAAAGAACAUGACCAUACACUGUAACGAAUUGCUGUAAAAACUACAGCGUUAUUUUACAGAAGCUGACUGUUUUUUAAAUAAUACAGAAUAUUGCUGUAAAGUGCAAUGCAUUCUGGGGUCACGUGACGGAUUAACUCAAAUGUACAGAAUAUUGCUGUAAAUUUCAAAUCUACAAUGGCGGGAUGAUCUUCAACGGUCGAGAUUGGUGUAGUGCGCAAAAUGAGUGAUUCACACAUGUGACACACUUUGCCAUGCAGGCCACUGGAUGCUGACUACUGCAGGUUAGGUUGUGUGUGACUGUGACGUGCUCAGCACAGCUUCAUGUCUGGCCUUCCCACUCUGUUCAUAGCAUGUUACAUAUUCAAUCUUGAGUACCAGGAUGGGGCAAGCGUGUAUCUUGGAGUCCAAUGAAAGAUAUUAAUCCAGAGAGUGGAACAAGAAGAAGCAUCAUCUAAAAUGCCAGGAAACAGAAGAAACAGGUUGCAGUGAACCCACAUGUUGCCGCUCUACACAAUGAUGAAUUUUCAUUGUAAUCGA